GGAGGGGUCGCAUAGUGGUCUAGUGCGCUGCAUUCGAAACGCAGUAGGCUCGCAAGAGUCUCGAGAGUUCAAAUCUCUCCCCCUCCG
rnacentral:tRNA from 2 species